rnacentral:rRNA from 1 species
GGGAUCGCCCCAGUAACGGCGAGUGAAGCGGCGACAGCUCAAAUUUGAAAUCUCCUCCGGGUCUCCGGGGUGAGAGUUGUAAUUUGUAGAGGCUGCCUUCGGCAACGUACCCGGAAGAAGUCCCUUGGAACAGGGCGUCCGAGAGGGUGAGAACCCCGUUCGCAUCUAGGUAUCGACGCCAUGUGAAGCGCCUUCGACGAGUCGAGUUGUUUGGGAAUGCAGCUCUAAGCGGGAGGUAAAUUCCUUCUAAAGCUAAAUAUCGGCCGGAGACCGAUAGCGCACAAGUAGAGUGAUCGAAAGAUGAAAAGCACUUUGGAAAGAGAGUCAAACAACACGUGAAAUUGUUGAAAGGGAAGCUCUUGCCGCCAGACGUGCCGGGGCCGUACAGCCGUUGCGGCGGUGCAUUCGGUCUCGGCGGGCCAGCGUCAACUCCCGCGGCGGGAUAAAGGCCGUGAGAAUGUAGCUCCCCUCGGGGAGUGUUAUAGCUUUCGGUGUCAUGCCGCCUGUGGGGGUUGAGGCCUGCGUUUUCAUGGACGCUGGCGUAAUGGUGUCAAGCGACCCGUCUG